AGAGUUUGAUCCUGGCUCAGGAUGAACGCUAGCUACAGGCUUAACACAUGCAAGUCGAGGGGCAGCGGGAUUGAAGCUUGCUUCAAUUGCCGGCGACCGGCGCACGGGUGAGUAACGCGUAUCCAACCUUCCGCUUACUCGGGGAUAGCCUUUCGAAAGAAAGAUUAAUACCCGAUGGUAUCUUAAGCACGCAUGAGAUUAAGAUUAAAGAUUUAUCGGUAAGCGAUGGGAAUGCGUUCCAUUAGGCAGUUGGCGGGGUAACGGCCCACCAAACCUACGAUGGAUAGGGGUUCUGAGAGGAAGGUCCCCCACAUUGGAACUGAGACACGGUCCAAACUCCUACGGGAGGCAGCAGUGAGGAAUAUUGGUCAAUGGGCGAGAGCCUGAACCAGCCAAGUAGCGUGAAGGAUGACGGCCCUACGGGUUGUAAACUUCUUUUGUGCGGGAAUAAAGGAGCCUACGUGUAGGCUUUUGCAUGUACCGUAACGAAUAAGCAUCGGCUAACUCCGUGCCAGCAGCCGCGGUAAUACGGAGGAUGCGAGCGUUAUCCGGAUUUAUUGGGUUUAAAGGGAGCGUAGACGGGUUUUUAAGUCAGCUGUGAAAGUUUGGGGCUCAACCUUAAAAUUGCAGUUGAAACUGGAGACCUUGAGUACGGUUGAGGCAGGCGGAAUUCGUGGUGUAGCGGUGAAAUGCUUAGAUAUCACGAAGAACCCCGAUUGCGAAGGCAGCCUGCUAAGCCGCCACUGACGUUGAGGCUCGAAAGUGCGGGUAUCAAACAGGAUUAGAUACCCUGGUAGUCCGCACGGUAAACGAUGGAUACUCGCUGUUGGCGAUAGACGGUCAGCGGCCAAGCGAAAGCGUUAAGUAUCCCACCUGGGGAGUACGCCGGCAACGGUGAAACUCAAAGGAAUUGACGGGGGCCCGCACAAGCGGAGGAACAUGUG
rnacentral:rRNA from 1 species